GGGGAAUAUUGCACAAUGGGCGCAAGCCUGAUGCAGCCAUGCCGCGUGUGUGAAGAAGGCCUUCGGGUUGUAAAGCACUUUCAGCGGGGAGGAAGGCGGUGAGGUUAAUAACCUUGUCGAUUGACGUUACCCGCAGAAGAAGCACCGGCUAACUCCGUGCCAGCAGCCGCGGUAAUACGGAGGGUGCAAGAGUUAAUCGGAAUUACUGGGCGUAAAGCGCACGCAGGCGGUCUGUCAAGUCGGAGGUGAAAGCCCCGGGCUCAACCUGGGAACUGCAUUCGAAACUGGCAGGCUAGAGUCUUGUAGAGGGGGGUAGAAUUCCAGGUGUAGCGGUGAAAUGCGUAGAGAUCUGGAGGAAUACCGGUGGCGAAGGCGGCCCCCUGGACAAAGACUGACGCUCAGGUGCGAAAGCGUGGGGAGCAAAC
rnacentral:rRNA from 1 species